rnacentral:rRNA from 1 species
UGCAGUCGAACGGCGCAACAGGUACCUUGCUACUUUGCAGGCGAGCGGCAGCCUCUACGCGGGUGUCUGGGAAACUGCCUGAUGGAGGGAGAUCACCCCCAACGGAGGUAUCUAAUACCGCAUAACCUCACAAGACCAAAGAGGGGGACCUUCGGCCCUCUUGCCAUCAUAUGUCCUUCUAAGAGAUUAGCUAGUAUGUGGGGUAACCGCUCACCUAGGCCACUAUCCCUAUCUGGUCUGAGAAGAUGACCACCCACUCUGGAACUGACACACGGUCCACACUCCUACGGGAGGCAGCAGUGGGGAAUAUUGCACAGUGGGCGCAAGCCUGAUGCACCCGUGCCGCGUGUAUGAAAAACGCCUUCGGGUUGUAAAGUACUUUCCGCGGAGAAGAAGGCGGUGAGGUUAAUAACCUUAUUUUUUGACGUUACCCGCAAAAGAAGCACCGGCUAACUCCGUGCCCGCCCCCGCGGUAAUACAGAGGGUGCACGCGUUACUCAGAAUUACUGGGCGUAAAGCACACGCACGCGGUCUGUCAAGUCAGAUGUGAACUCCCCGGGCUCACCCUGAGAACUGCAUUCGACACUGGCACGCUAGACUCUUGUAGAGGGGGGUAGAAUUCCGUGUGUAGCGGAGAUAUGCAUAGAGAUCUAGAAGAAUACCUGUGGCGAGCGCGGCCCCCUGGACAAACACUGACUCUCAUGUGCGAGAGCGUGGAGAGCACACAAGAUUAUAUACUGUGGUAGUCCACGCCAUACACUAUGUCGACUUGGAUGGUGUGCCCGU